GAUGAACGCUGGCGGCGUGCCUAACACAUGCAAGUCGAGCGAACAGAUGAGGAGCUUGCUCCUCUGACGUUAGCGGCGGACGGGUGAGUAACACGUGGAUAACCUACCUAUAAGACUGGUAUAACUUCGGGACACCGGAGCUUAUACCGGAUAAUCUACUGAACCGCAUGGUUCAAUAGUAAAAUACGGUUUUGCUGUCACUUAUAGAUGGAUCUGCGCCGCAUUGGAUAGUUGGUAAGGUAACGGCUUUUCACGGCUACGAUGCGUAGACGACGUGCGGGGGUGAUCGGCGACACUGGAACGGGGACAGGGACCAGGGUCCUACGGGAGGGAGCAGUAGGGAAUCUGCCGCAGUAGGCGAGAACCUGGCACAGCGAGGGGGAGUGUGAGAUGGAGAUCUUCGGAUCGGGAAACUCUGUUACGAGGGAAGAACAGAUGUGGAAGUAAAUGUGCCCGGCUUGACGGUACCUGGUCAGGAAGCCACGGCUAACUACGUG
rnacentral:rRNA from 1 species